GCAAACAUACAGUCUGUAUGCAGCCUGUCCAGGCCCAGCUCAUGGCAAACAUACACCUCCAUUUACUCACUUUUGCAUAAUUAGCAAUUGGCAUUUUGAUUCAUAAAAUUAAACUGGGAUUAGCAUGUGAUAAUGUGAGCUUAAACAGAUGAAUAUAAGUGCAUUCUUCUGCAUUUCCAACCCUAGACUGCAGCCUCCAC
rnacentral:lncRNA from 1 species